GAGGAAGGUGGGGAUGACGUCAAGUCCUCAUGGCCUUUAUACCCAGGGCUACACACGUGUUACAAUGGCUAGUACAAAGGGAAGCAAACCCGCGAGGGGGAGCUGAUCUCAGAAAACUAGUCUAAGUUCGGAUUGAAGUCUGCAAUUCGACUUCAUGAAGUUGAAAUCGCUAGUAAUCGCAUAUCAGAACGAUGCGGUGAAUACGUUCUCGGACCUUGUACACACCGCCCGUCACACCACGAAAGUUGUUUAUACCCAAAAUCGUUUUAGCUAACUUGUAAGAGGGGCGUACGAUUAAGGUAUGGGCGAUGAUUGGGGUGAAGUCGUAACAAGGUAGCUGUAGGAGAACCUGCGGCUGGAUCACCUCCUUU
rnacentral:rRNA from 1 species